UACGUAGGCAGCGAGCGUUGUUCGGAGUUACUGGGCGUAAAGGGUGUGUAGGCGGUUGUUUAAGUUUGGUGUGAAAUCUCCCGGCUCAACUGGGAGGGUGCGCCGAAUACUGAGUGACUAGAGUGCGGGAGAGGAAAGUGGAAUUCCUGGUGUAGCGGUGAAAUGCGUAGAUAUCAGGAGGAACACCGGUGGUGUAGACGGCUUUCUGGACCGUAACUGACGCUAAGACACGAAAGCGUGGGUAGCAAACAGG
rnacentral:rRNA from 1 species